CAAUAGCGUAUAUUAAAGUUGUUGCAGUUAAAAAGCUCGUAGUUGGAUUUGUGGCGUACGGUGUGUUCCGGGCACUUGUUGUCUGAGUAACCUGCUGUUGCCAUCCUUGGGUGGAACCUGUGUGGCAUUAGGUUGUCGUGCAGGGGAUGCCCAUCAUUUACUGUGAAAAAAUUAGAGUGUUCAAAGCAGGCUUGUGCCGUUGAAUAUAUUAGCAUGGAAUAAUGAGAUAGGACUUUUCUGCUAUUUUGUUGGUUUGCGCAAAGAGGUAAUGAUUAAUAGGGACAGUUGGGGGUAUUCGUAUUCCAUUGUCAGAGGUGAAAUUCUCGGAUUUUUGGAAGACGAACUACUGCGAAAGCAUUUACCAAGGAUGUUUUCAUUAA
rnacentral:rRNA from 1 species